rnacentral:tRNA from 1 species
AGCUUCGUAGCUUAGCUGAUAGAGCGUGCACUGUACAAAAGUGUCGGAGGCGCCAUGUGUGGAUUCGAAUCCCACCGAGGCUA